rnacentral:rRNA from 1 species
UAGCUAGUUGGUAGGGUAAAGGCCUACCAAGGCGACGAUCGGUAGCUGGUCUGAGAGGAUGGCCAGCCACACUGGAACUGAGACACGGUCCAGACUCCUACGGGAGGCAGCAGUGGGGAAUAUUGGACAAUGGGGGAAACCCUGAUCCAGCAAUGCCGCGUGUGUGAAGAAGGCCUGAGGGUUGUAAAGCACUUUCAGUGGGGAGGAGGGUUGACAGGUUAAGAGCUAGUUAACUGGACGUUACCCACAGAAGAAGCACCGGCUACUCCGUGCCAGCAGUCGCGGUAAUACGGAGGGUGCAAGCGUUAAUCGGAAUUACUGGGCGUAAAGCGUGCGUAGGUGGUUGGAUAAGUUAUCUGUGAAAUCCCUGGGCUCAACCUGGGCAGGUCAGAUAAGACUGUUUAACUAGAGUAUAGGAGAGGGUAGUGGAAUUUCCGGUGUAGCGGUGAAAUGCGUAGAGAUCGGAAGGAACACCAGUGGCGAAGGCGACUACCUGGCCAGAUACUGACACUGAGGCACGAAAGCGUGGGGAGCAAACAGGAUUAGAUACCCUGGUAGUCCACGCCGUAAACGAUGUCAACUAGCUGUUGGUCUUAUAAAUGAGAUUAGUGGCGC